UUUCUCAAGCUAUAAAAUAGAAAACUCUGUUGUGAACCAGUUUCUUUCACAGGACUAAAGGAGUGUUUCGAGCCUAAACUAUAUUUCUGGAUGUGUUUGUGAGUUUUGAAGAAAUUUAUUAACAAAGACAAUGGGACCAAAACCUUCUAAAGUGAAAACACACGGUAGGGUAAAAUGUGGUCCAACCAGCAUCAUGGGUGAAUAUGAUCUUGAACUGGAAUACCCCAAUAACAACCCAAAUAUGGGGAACAAUAUGUUGGUCCCAUCAUACAAUAAUGCUGGAUACUACAACCCUCAAUUGAACUACAAUCCGGGCAAUUAUGCAUACGCUCAAUGUCACACUGAUUACCUGCGAAACUUUCAAACAUAUGAGACUGCAGUCGUGAGGAAUGGUAGACUUGUUGAAACAGAUGAAUAUAUGUAUUAUUAUUAUUAACCUAAUAUUUUAGCUUUCAUCAAUAAUUACACUACAUCUUCUGAAAAAUAAAGGAUCUACACUGUAUAAAAACG